AUAUAUUUGUUAUUUUCUGUCACACAAAACCCUCUGCCCAAAUUUCUUCAAAUCCAUCGAAUCCAUCUAAUUUCUUUGAAUUGCAAUGCCUAAAAUACUCAAAUUUCAUCUCACAGUAGUUCAUUUCGUAAUGGAUUCGAAGAAAUUUGAAGGAUAUAUAUAACCACACACAAAGAAAUGAAGGAUUUAGGGUUUAAGAUUGACCCUUUUGUUGUUACUUCUUCUAAUUCUCUUUAUUCAUCAUCAUAUAUGUUUUGCAUUUAAAUUCAUUCAAGGGUUUUCAUUGUCAUUGAUAGUGAUGUUGUUGUUGUUAGUGGUGGUGGAUCCUCUCUCUUUCUCUAUUUGUACAGAAUUAGGCCAACGCCUAAUUCAAUGGUAGUAUUUGUGGGACGUCUGCAAUGGUAGUACCGUAGAGUCUAUAUCUCUCUACCCUUUUGAUAUCUGCUAAUUUUGUUUAUGAUGGUUUUGAUGCAUAAUUUUAAUUUCUAGUAGUUCAAUAAAUGGUAAACUAUUUUUCAUAGGUUGGUGUCGGCGAUUGUUUUCUGUUAAAGUAAUUGCGUAUCUAAUGAGGUUUUUGAACGCCUUUGUGUUUUCAUUAGAUUGUUUUUUGUCUUUGUCUAGAAACUUUCAGCAUAUAAGCUAUGGCCGAAAAAGAAAAGAACUAUGUUCUCUUUGAGAAACUUGCAUUUAUUAGAACUUGUUGCUUGCUUUCUCUAAGUUUGAUUCUCUAAUAAAUUUCUUGAUUCUAAUUUAUUUUGUCAACAAAGUUUUGAUUCUAGUUUUUGACUUCUGUUUGGCUUUUAAGUUGUUGCUAGCGGUGUUAGUUUAUUUUGCAUACAAAUUUCUUUUGAUUCUAAUUUGCUUCUUGUCGUCACACAGGAUUGUUUCAAGGCACUUUGGAGUUCUCACAAUUUUAUCCAAUUGAAAUGCCAAAUUUUCUUCUCCGACUAUUGAAACUCUAGCAGAACAAAAUGCAGCCUCGCAUAGCGAUGGUAAGUAAGGCAAAUGGCUACGUUGAAAGAACCUUCCAGAGGCAUGCAUUGAUCAGAGUAGGAAAUCUUCUUUGUACUUAGAUGGAAGAUGCAGUCCUUAAAACAUAUGUCUUAGACUUACCUUACUAUAUUUUUAAUGCUUCGAAAACUUAAUUGAGAGCAUUCCUGGUUCCAGUGAGUGGUCCAAAUGGGAAAUGUCCAUGGUCAGGUAGAAGGAAUUAAUCCAAGUGAAAAGGCAUUGUCAAUUGGCUCUCAUUUGGUGAAGCAUUGAUUACUUACCUCUUCUUAUAGUAGAUUUGUUUUACUUCCCUGCAUUACCAGUUCAAGAUG